rnacentral:rRNA from 1 species
AUUGAACGCUGGCGGCAGGCCUAAUACAUGCAAGUCGAACGGUAACAUAAAAGAAGCUUGCUUCUUUUGAUGACGAGUGGCGGACGGGUGAGUAAUAUUUGGGAAACUACCUGAUAGAGGGGGACAACAGUUGGAAACGACUGCUAAUACCGCAUAUAGCCUGAGGGUGAAAGCAGCAAUGCGCUAUCAGAUGUGCCCAAACGGGAUUAGCUAGUAGGUGAGGUAAAGGCUCACCUAGGCGACGAUCUCUAGCUGGUCUGAGAGGAUGAUCAGCCACAUUGGGACUGAGACACGGCCCAGGGCUCCUACGGGAGGCAGCAGUAGGGAAUAUUGCACAAUGGAGGAAACUCUGAUGCAGCCAUGCCGCGUGUGUGAAGAAGGCCUU